CUGGUUUCAUUCCAUUUUAGAAAUAUAUGGAAGAGAGGAAAAAAAUUUCAACAGCCUACUUCAAGAAAACCAAAAAGUGGGCUGGAGAGGACAGAAUUCGGAGAGGACAGACACCUAGGUCAUUUGAUGCCAAAUUGCAGGCAAAUCGCUUUAGUUCCAGCUCCUUGGCAGCUAUGACCAGGUGAAAUGUUG
rnacentral:lncRNA from 12 species